CUGUCAGCAUUAAGAAGAGUGCUAAGUGAAAGCUUUUCCUGGAACCUGAGCCACUUCUUGUAUUCCUGUGAUCCGAGGAACCAAGCGUAACAACAUUGAAGUGGAAAGAACGAUUUAAGUUGUAGAAAUGGGAAAGAGCAGAAAAAAGGUAAGUGGCUUGCAAAUAUUCUAAGGUUAGAAACAUUACCUAGGAUCAUAUAAUCUUUAUUGUACAGUUUUGUGCUUAAUUGCUCAAGGCACUAAAGCAUAAUCGUGUACUUCAGUUGGAGAAUAUUCUACUAUCACCUAAAUGGACCACAAAGGGACCGUUGAUGAUCGUCAUACAUAGCACAUGGAUUUCCAUCAGCAAACUGCAUAAGGCAGGUACUCAAAAGAAAUAUCAGCUAGUUAUGGAAAUAUCUCUACUGAGCAAACUCAUUUAGUUAGAAAAGAUCGAGAUCUGAAUUCAUCAUUAAUUGGACUACUCUAAUUGCUACCUUUCUCUCUUUGACGUAUAUGCUUGGCCUCAAUUACAGCAAAUGCCUGAAUACAACACGCAAGAAUGCUUUUUGGAAAACUUCGGACACAAACCGAUGUUUAUGUGAUUCUUAAAGGGCUCUAAGGAUGGUAUCAAGUGCGAGUAACUAUUUGAGCAAAGAGACCCACAAGUGGGAUGAAUGUGUUCAGAAACUAGCAAUGUCUUAAACCCUUAUUCCAUAAUCUCUGGCUUCUGGAUAUUUUAGCUGGUUUUUUAUUUUACCUUUUCAAACUUGGUUUUUGGUAAUUAGGUCUUUUGAACUCUCUCUUUUGUAAACUCUUGCCAUCUUCAAUUUAUCUGAGUUUCUAUCAGUCAUUUUAUCACUUUUUUGUGAGCGGCUUCCUUGCCUUGUGUUUCAUGCAUCCACCAUUUAAACACUCUUCUUUGAAAGCUUUUCUCACAAAUCCUUAGUGUGCAAAAGAGAAGUGGAG
rnacentral:lncRNA from 1 species